rnacentral:rRNA from 1 species
AGAGUGAACGCUGGCGGCAGGCCUAACACAUGCAAGUCGAACGGCAGCACAGCAGUAGCAAUACUGUGGGUGGCGAGUGGCGGACGGGUGAGGAAUACAUCGGAAUCUACCUUGUCGUGGGGGAUAACGUAGGGAAACUUACGCUAAUACCGCAUACGAACCAUGGUUGAAAGCGGCGGACCGCAAGGCGUCGCGCGAUUGGAUGAGCCGAUGUCCGAUUAGCUAGUUGGCGGGGUAAAGCCCACAAGGCGACGAUCGGUAGCUGGUCUGGAGAGGAUGAUCAGCCACACUGGAACUGAGACACGGUCCAGA